rnacentral:rRNA from 1 species
AGACUAGAACAAAAGAUUUAACAUUUUAAUAAAUAUGUAUUAUUAAAUUAAUUAAAAUUAUCUUUAAAGUAAAAAGACUUUAAUAUCUAAGAAAGACGACAAGACCCUAUUGAACUUAACUAUUGUUAAGCUGGGGCAGCUAUCCAAUUAAAAUUUUAUAACUAAUUAAUAAAUAAAUGAUCUAAUAUAAUUAAUCUAAUGAUCAAGUUACCAUAGGGAUAACAGCGUAAUAUAUUUUAAAAGACCUUAUAUAAAUAUAAGCUUAC